rnacentral:rRNA from 1 species
UACGGAAGGCAGCAGUGGGGAAUAUUGCACAAUGGGCGCAAGCCUGAUGCAGCCAUGCCGCGUGUAUGAAAAAGGCCUUCGGGUUGUAAAGUACUUUCAGUCGUGAGGAGGUGUUAAGGUUAAUAACCUUAGCAAUUGACGUUAGCGACAGAAGAAGCACCGGCUAACUCCGUGCCAGCAGCCGCGGUAAUACGGAGGGUGCGAGCGUUAAUCGGAAUUACUGGGCGUAAAGGGCACGCAGGCGGUUAAUUAAGUUGGAUGUGAAAUCCCCGGGCUUAACCUGGGAAUGGCAUUCAAGCUGGUUAGCUAGAGUCUUGUAGAGGGGGUAGAAUUCCAUGUGUAGCGGUGAAAUGCGUAGAGAUGUGGAGGAAUACCGGUGGCGAAGGCGGCCCCUGGACAAAGACUGACGCUCAUGUGCGAAAGCGUGGGGAGCAAAACAGGGAUUAGAUACC